AUCGGCUCAAGGCAGUUCUUCG
rnacentral:miRNA from 2 species